GUUGGUGUGGUGUAGUGGUUAUCACGUCAGUCUUACACACUGAAGGUCCCCAGUCCAAUCCUGGGCAUCAACA
rfam:Ipomoea nil DNA, scaffold: scaffold0465, cultivar: Tokyo-kokei standard.